ACUGCCGCUAUAAACUAGAUCGACAGUAGUAUACUUUAAGGCGCUAAAGAAAAUAGAUUCGUCCUCUUCUUCCUCCCCUUUUUUCCUCUUCUCGCCCUCUCUACUUCUCUCAGUUAAAGCUCCACCAGACGAUACUCAAUCAACGAUGCCAGCACCAGCAAACGACACCCAAUCAAGUAAGACCACCAUUUUGUACAAGCUCAAGCUGGGAGAGAUUGUCACUACCAUUCCAACCAUUGUUGCCACAGCUGCAUGAUUUUCCAGGCCAGGCACAGCAGAAAUUACAGCCGAUUCAAGCAUCUAAACUGCAGCUCCUGCUUCAGAAGUCAUAGUGAGGGUUUGGAAAUAAUGCUUCAAUAUGCCCAAUAUUUUCUCUUACAAAGUUGAGUUGAAGAGCAACUAGAGGGAGAAAUCUACCAUCUUGAUUGUUUUCCUACUUUAUUGUAUAUGUGCAUAGUGGCUUUUGUUUAGAAGUAUGUUGAUAGAACUGGGAAGUUAAAUAAAGAAUUUAUUCAAA